UCCAGCGCACUCACCUAUCCACUAAACAGCAACUUCAAAGUUGAAAGAUUUUAUUUGUUUUUUUUUGUUUUGUUUUUUUUUUGUUAAAAAAAACAAAUAAAAUCUUUCAACUUUGAAGUUGCUGUUUAGUGGAUAGGUGAGUGCGCUGGA